GAUGAAGAACGCAGUGAAAUGCGAUACGUAAUGUGAAUUGCAGAAUUCAGUGAAUCAUCGAGUCUUUGAACGCACAUUGCGCCCCCUGGUAUUCCGGGGGGCAUGCCUGUCCGAGCGUCAUUGCUGCCCUCAAGCACGGCUUGUGUGUUGGGCCUCCGUCCUCCUCCCGGGGGACGGGCCCGAAAGGCAGCGGCGGCACCGCGUCCGGUCCUCGAGCGUAUGGGGCUUCGUCACCCGCUCUUGUAGGCCCGGCCGGCGCUUGCCGACACAUCAAUCUUUUUUCCAGGUUGACCUCGGAUCAGGUGGGGAUACCCGCUGAACUUAAGCAUAUAAUAAGCGGAGGA
rnacentral:misc_RNA from 1 species